CAUAUUUCAUUCUCUCUGCUUCUUCCUUUUUCGUUGCUUGAAACAACCAUGUAGGACUACUUCCAUCUCCAAUUCACCCCAUUUGCUUCUUCUUUUUGUCGCCUCCCUAAAAAACCUUAUAGUUUUCUCCAUCUCAGAGAAAAGAAGAACUAAUUCAAAAUGGGUAUUGAUCUAAUUUCCGGAGGCAAGAGCAAGAAAACAAAGAUAACAGCUCCUAAAUCAGAUAAUGUCUACCUCAACCCCUAAUUUGAAUCUAGUGUUCACGCCGAUGAAGCAAAUGAUUUUUGUCGAUGGAAGGAGAUUAAGAGCUCGUUUUAGAAAACCAGAGAAGCGCGAGUUGGGUAAGAGUUUAUUUUCUAUUUGGCAUUUUUUUGAGCGUCAAAUCAGAGCAGAAAUGGUUUUCGGCCAUUGAUAUUAAAGGUGAGUGCUGGUGAAUGACGAAUCAUUAGAAUCUUUGUCGGAUUUAGGACUUGGGUUGUUGCUGGAAUUAAAUAGAAUGCAGGGAAGGAGCUUGGAAAGAAUCAACUUAAACUUUUUCAUCAAUUAUCAUUAAAUGAAACACCCACAAGUUGUUCGGGUAAAAGUUUGAAUGACCAAAUUCGCAUCCACAGUCUGUAGCCAUAAAACUGGAGGUUUGUGAAGUGAAGAAAAUGGGUGUUGUGUGGCUCUGAGUUAAAUUGGAAAAAGAGUUCUAAACCCUCGAUGAUGUGAAAGAAACAAAUCUGCUUCACUCUCUUUCUCAAAAAUUACCUGAGAUUGAAAUUUUUGGAAAUGGGUUUUAUUUUAUUUUUAUUUGACAAGUCUAUAUCGUUUAGUUGUUUGAUUAUAUAAUGGAUGAUUACUUGUUUGA